rnacentral:rRNA from 1 species
GAAUGCUGACAUAAGUAACGAUAAAGCGGGUGAAAAGCCCGCUCGCCGGAAGACCAAGGGUUCCUGUCCAACGUUAAUCGGGGCAGGGUGAGUCGACCCCUAAGGCGAGGCCGAAAGGCGUAGUCGAUGGGAAACGGGUUAAUAUUCCCGUACUUGGUGUUACUGCGAAGGGGGGACGGAGAAGGCUAUGUUGGCCGGGCGACGGUUGUCCCGGUUUAAGCGUGUAGGUGUGUGUUCCAGGUAAAUCCGGUUCACUUUAACACUGAGGCGUGACGACGAGGCACUACGGUGCUGAAGCAACAAAUGCCCUGCUUCCAGGAAAAGCCUCUAAGCAUCAGGUAACAUCAAAUCGUACCCCAAACCGACACAGGUGGUCAGGUAGAGAAUACCAAGGCGCUUGAGAGAACUCGGGUGAAGGAACUAGGCAAAAUGGUGCCGUAACUUCGGGAGAAGGCACGCUGACACGUAGGUGAAGUGAUUUACUCACGGAGCUGAAGUCAGUCGAAGAUACCAGCUGGCUGCAACUGUUUAUUAAAAACACAGCACUGUGCAAACACGAAAGUGGACGUAUACGGUGUGACGCCUGCCCGGUGCCGGAAGGUUAAUUGAUGGGGUCAGCGCAAGCGAAGCUCCUGAUCGAAGCCCCGGUAAACGGCGGCCGUAACUAUAACGGUCCUAAGGUAGCGAAAUUCCUUGUCGGGUAAGUUCCGACCUGCACGAAUGGCGUAAUGAUGGCCAGGCUGUCUCCACCCGAGACUCAGUGAAAUUGAACUCGCUGUGAAGAUGCAGUGUACCCGCGGCAAGACGGAAAGACCCCGUGAACCUUUACUAUAGCUUGACACUGAACAUUGAGCCUUGAUGUGUAGGAUAGGUGGGAGGCUUUGAAGCGUGGACGCCAGUCUGCGUGGAGCCGGCCUUGAAAUACCACCCUUUAAUGUUUGAUGUUCUAACGUGGACCCGUGAUCCGGGUUGCGGACAGUGUCUGGUGGGUAGUUUGACUGGGGCGGUCUCCUCCUAAAGAGUAACGGAGGAGCACGAAGGUUGGCUAAUCCUGGUCGGACAUCAGGAGGUUAGUGCAAUGGCAUAAGCCAGCUUGACUGCGAGCGUGACGGCGCGAGCAGGUGCGAAAGCAGGUCAUAGUGAUCCGGUGGUUCUGAAUGGAAGGGCCAUCGCUCAACGGAUAAAAGGUACUCCGGGGAUAACAGGCUGAUACCGCCCAAGAGUUCAUAUCGACGGCGGUGUUUGGCACCUCGAUGUCGGCUCAUCACAUCCUGGGGCUGAAGUAGGUCCCAAGGGUAUGGCUGUUCGCCAUUUAAAGUGGUACGCGAGCUGGGUUUAGAACGUCGUGAGACAGUUCGGUCCCUAUCUGCCGUGGGCGCUGGAGAACUGAGGGGGGCUGCUCCUAGUACGAGAGGACCGGAGUGGACGCAUCACUGGUGUUCGGGUUGUCAUGCCAAUGGCACUGCCCGGUAGCUAAAUGCGGAAGAGAUAAGUGCUGAAAGCAUCUAAGCACGAAACUUGCCCCGAGAUGAGUUCUCCCUGAGACUUAGAGUCUCCUGAAGGAACGUUGAAGACGACGACGUUGAUAGGCCGGGUGUGUAAGCGCAGCGAUGCGUUGAGCUAACCGGUACUAAUGAACCGUGAGGCUUAACCUU